AUGAGGUGACACCAGAUUUGAGAUAAAAUGCAGAUAGAUAGAUAAAUAGACAGAUAGAUGUGAAACACCCAAAUUUAUAAAUAUUCUGGCUUGGAGACCUUCAGCAUCUCCAAAUUUAUUUCUGUAUUUUAAAACCAGGAACUUAAAAAUGAAGUUGAACAGGAAGUUGUGGCCAUAACCCCUUUGCCUAUUUCCCCUUUCUCACCAUCUACUAAAUAUUACAAAGCCCAUAAAUUGUGAAAGUUGACAAAUCGGGGCUUUGUUCAAGUCUAAGACUGAGACUUGGGGCCAGGAGGUUUCAAUCCUGCGUUACCUGGAAUAUAUCAUUACUGACAGACUUGCUGGGAUUCAAUUUCUACCGGCUAUAAAGUGGGAUUCUCAAAUGAUGUCAUGCCAGCCUCGUUGCCUUUGAUGACAUGAUACUGUGCUUGGAAAGGGAAGAGCCAUCAGAUGUGACACAGCUUGGCAUCUGCCAGCCUUUGGUGCUGUUCCAUGCCCCCAUGAACGGGGGAAAUGUGAUCUGGGCAAGGUCUCUGUAGGGUGGAUGGGAAAUUAUUCUGAAAUGGUGAUUGUCUUGUGGUUCCAGGUCAAAAUACCACCUCCUCUUGAUCAAGUGUUUCUACUCAACAUGGCUUUAGGCUGUGUUUGCAGGGACAAUUCUGGAUGUUGGAAGAGGGUGUGCUUUUUAAAUACCUAUAGACUGAUGAUUCUACACAAGUUUCACAGGGUGGAGACCUGGAUCCUGAAAUGUAGGAUCUUGUGGUGUCUGUGCUGGAAGCAGAGCUUGCAGGACAGGAGACACUUCUUCCACUGGACUUGGCUCUGGUAAAACCUAGGCAGGAGUGUUGUCUAAUUUUGGGCUUAGGUAUAGCUGUCCUACUGCUUUUCAGUGCUGUAUGUUCAAAACAGCUGCUUAUUUCACAUUCAUUUAUUAUGGCUUCUAAAAAGACCCUAAUAAUUGACAAUAGUUAAGAGCUGAAGAGAAGCAGGCUCUACCCUGUACUUUAAUCUGAGGGUCUGGUCCUCCAGGCCACCAGCAAAUGAUUAUUCCUUGUUUGUCAUGAGCAUCAUUCACCUGGAACAAGACUUGCUUUUGUAUCCCAAACUGAUCCAAAACAUAAGUGAAAAGGAUUCAGAUCUUGGUGAGGAAGUCUGGAAGGAACAGGAGCACUUCUCACCAUGUACAGGUGAGCAGUGCUUGCUGCCUUUACUGGGUAACAAACACAAACUGGGAGCAACUGGUCCAGUGGUUCCAUUUGCUGGGCCUGACUUUUCCAGAGGAAUGGGAUAAAGCUCUCCUGGCUGGAGGCUCAGGUUAUCUCUGCCUUUGGUUUGCACAAGAAAAAUCCCCACAAUAGCUACAAGAAAGUGAGGCCAGGAGGGGUUUACUGGGACUUGCUGAGUGCAGCAGGAGGUGCCAGAUGUGCUCCUGGCACCUCUGUACUGGGCCAGGGAACUGUCCUGGAGCCCUGGAGGGCUGGCUGUGCUGUGUGAUCUCUGUCCUGGGAGCAGCACCCUGCAGCACUGCUGCUCAGUGCAAGGCAGCAGUGCCUGGAAUGUGCAGCAUGCCCUGUGCUCCUGGGAGCACUUCCAGGCCCUCCCUGAUAAAGCCAGGCCUCGAAAUAGGCUGCUAUCAACAGCCUGCUGCCAGGUACUGCUGUUUUUGGAAGUCCUGCGUCCUACCUCGUAUCAAGAGGGCUGCAGGGCUGAGGGGAAGAUGGCAAAUGAGAGCAGCCCCUAAACACCUCCUUUGGAAUUUAUCUGGUGGGUCCUGGGGAGGUCACGAGCAAAAAAUGCCCUGGAGGCUGGGCCUGCUGUGAUCUUGCACCCAGUCCUUGUUCUCAUGAGCAAGGAUGUGUAAAAGUGAGUCUUGCUUUUCUGGCCUGGAGUUCAUUGCUUUCUUGGCAAAGCUGGGGGACACCAAACCCUGAGGGUGACAUAAGAAGUAAAAACACCUCAAUGUUUUGGAGCUCUGGGGAGAACACCACUACAUUAGCAGGAAAGAGGAGGAGAAGAGCUGCAGCAGCCCUCAGAAGCUGAUGUGACUCCCCACACAGGGGUGUGAUGUCCCUUAAUCCCUCGCCAUGCAGGUGCUGUCACUUCCCCAGAGUUUGCAGCUCUCUCUCUUGCUGAUACUGUUUGAGUCUGCCUCUCCUGCAAGAACAGCUCUGACAGGGCAGCCAGCCCCUGCUGCCUCUGCUGCUCUUCUGCCACAGGCUCUGAGCAAGGGGACAAUGUGUUUAGCAGCAGCAGUUCAGAAAUCUGAAGCUGUCUGUGGAAUUUUGGGACUGGGCUCUAAUAUAUGUUGCCUGCAAGAGGGAGAAGAGGCUGCACCUCUUGCACAACUCCAUAGUGGAGUUAUACCUCAAAAUAAAGAUAUUAUUUUUUUAGUCUUGAUUUGGCUAGUGCUCACUUCCACCUGCAUGCAUACAACGCAACAGAUAAUGUUUUUUAAUACAGAGAACUUGUAUAUUUGUAUUUGAACUCUAAAUGUGCUUGGGAUGGCAUUGAGUGUUGCCUUUCAGAACUGCCCUCUGAUCCCCUGGCCUGCCUAGGUUUGACAAAGCAGCAGUAAAUAGCAAAAUCCCCAGCAUCUCCCUAGGACAUGAGUAACAUCUAAAUUGUCAUUUGUUCUCAAUGUAUUCUUUUAAGAAACCACUGACUUAGGACAUGCAAGAGCAUGCACAGCUCAGGCUCUGGACUAACCCUUCCUCAUUCCCCUGAGCAUUUCUCCCCCUCAGCUCCUUGGACUUGGUGGGGGAUGAGGCAAACCUUUCUCAGAUUGCUUUGAUCUGGAAGUGGGUGGCUUUGGGGUCUUCCAGGGCCUGCAUGUGCAUCUCCCUGAGCUGAUGGUCAGGCAGGAACAGCUUUUUGGAGCUUGAGUGCCUGGAGGCUCAGAGAUGCUGGUGCAGGGCCAGUUUAGUUCUCAACAGGGCUGUUGGCCGGCAUGAGGAGGUGGCUGUAAACACAGUAAAUAAGUGAAAGAAGCAAGCUCAGCUUCAGUCUCAGCAGCAAGUCCUGCUGCUCUCAAGGGACGUCGCAUCCAAGCAGGAUUGGGCUCCCGAGGAGGAGGCGUGAACCAGUGGGCAAAGCAACAGGGGGAGUCAGAGACCUGGCUUUGCAACCUGCCUGUGCCACCCACCCCUGCAUGGCCCCGGGCACAUCACCUCCCCUCCCUCCCCUCCCCUCUCCCCUUCCCUCGCAGGCUGCUCUUAUUUCUGUGCACUGGAAGCGCCCCAGGGAGGGGCUGCCUCUACAGCUGCGGGCAGGGGAAGGGAUGCCGUGAACACCGAAUUUUCUGCCUGCCAGCAGAAGAACAGCAGAGAAAAUGAUGCGGUGCAACAGCCUGGGAGCCCUCUCCUAACGUAAAGGUCUAUCACAAAGCACUUUGGCUGCCACAACAAAGCUUAUUGAUCAGCCUCAAGCAUUCCAAAUUGUGUCUUUCUGCCCGAGAAGUAGCAGGAUGAAGAAUUAAAGCACUUACACGGGAGAAUAUUGUACAUGAGUUAUUGAGUAACCAUCAGCACUGCUCCAGGGCUGCUCCGCUCCUCUGGACUGUGUGCAACUUCUGAACAUUUUAUCUCUUCCCUUCAGCUUUUGCAGGCGAGUGCCAGCUCCUGUAGCAUAUAAACUAGGUGCUAUUUUUAUUGAAUCUGGCUUUAAAUGCUGUAGGUUUUUCACACGUGUGUUGGUUUUUUUAUUGUUGGUCUCAUUCCUGAACUUUCUGGCACCUCUAAGUGUGAAAUCGGUUAUGUGCACAUUGCUUGGCAGAUGAAUUCCUAUUUCUGGGAAUCGUUUUCCUUCUAAAAUGUAUUUUUAUAUUAAAAAUGUGAUCUAUAUCCAUCUACCGGCCUAAGAUUCCAGCCCAGAGAUUUCUGCAGCCGGAGAUCACCACAACAGGGGAUGCAGCCUGGAGGGAGACCUCUGCUUUCCAAGCUGCUGCCAGGGAAGAAGGAACCGCGGCUGUGUGUGGUUUUCUCGCCCAGGGUGACCUGGAACACAUCUGCGAAGCCCUCCAAAGCAGCAGGAAUGCGCUCCGUUAGGACAUGAUUCAUCCUGCAUACCGCAUGGGUGGCUGCUCGGGGAGAAUUUGGGCAUUUGCAUACGCUGCUGAGACCUUCCGCUUCUCGCUGCUCAUCCAGAGCGAGGGGGCUGCACAGGCAGAAAUCCCUUCUGGGGAUGGGCUGGAGCCAGCCCGGCAGCCGCGGCCCUGGAGCCCCUUCCCCUGUGUCUGCAGCAAGAGAGAAGCUGUCCCAGCCAGGCUGAAGGAUGGAUUGCAGGUUUUACAAAACCAUAAGUUAAUGUCUCCCCUGCAGGGAGCGGAUGAGUAACUGGGAAUUGCCCCAGCACACCUUUAGUUCUUGAUGUCCUUUAUCUUCAAGAGAACAUCCUCUGCUAAGCCUGAACACUCAACCUUACCUGAACGCAAGUAAGAUUUUUGCUGUAAGCAAAGUUGGGACAGAGCUGCUGCCCGGGGAUCAAUUGGGAAUUUGGUAUCUGCAGGGCAGGAAAACACAUCCCACACCUGCUCUCAGGCAGAACCAAGGCAUGGCAGAAGGAAGGGCUGUGCACAGGACUGAGCCAGCGCUGCUCCUGGGAAGGAAACAGGAAUUGGGCAUCGAGGCAAGGGGCUCUGCCUUAGGGCUGCUCCCGGGUUACUGCAGUUCCUUUGGCAGCUGCAGAGCUGUGCCAGCCUCAGGAGGAGCAGGGAGAUGCUCCCCGGGCCGGGAAGUGGCUUUGUCCUCCCUGUGCUUUGUCACUGAGCUGCGAGGAGCGAGCGGGACAAACGGGAAAGGUGGAGGAAUGGUGAAAAACACCGAGGUAAUGUCUUAGUGAGUAAGAACAGAAUGAAUUUCACAUUUUUAAACUGUAUCUAUUAAAAAAAAUCUCUCAGACCUCACCUUGCUUCCUGUGGCCUAAACACAAGGUGGCCUAAACAAGUUUAAGGGGAUGGAAGGAUGUUUUCCUGCUGGCAUUAAUUAUCUUUAAUGUAUAUACAACUUCAGUGAGGGAAACUAUUCCACCUGCACAGAUUAGUCUAUUUGGAUUUAUCGUCGUUCAUUUUGGCAUUAAAAUCGUAACCAGGCAAUGCUGGUGCUUGGAACGCAGAUCUGAAGUAAUAUGGUAAUGUGUUUAAAUCCUUUAAUGUCGGGGGAACAUAACAUUUCAAGCUGUUCUCAAAAGGCUGCCAAAACCAAUGUCUGACACUAUGCGAAACAUUUUAAAGAAAACUUUCAACAAACAGGAAUUUAGCAAAUAGGAGUACACCUACCCCAAAAAAGCUCCUAACAUAGAAAGCAUGCCAGUGUCAUGGGAACCACAAGUAAAUACUGACUAGUCCUAACUAGCAGGUGGAAAUAGAUUUUCAUAGUAUCUAACUAAUAAUUAUGGUAUAUAUUUGGUUUGAGACACAAAUAGGUUCAAUAUGAGGUGUGAGAUUUAUGUUUUUUAAUUUGGUAUUUUAGAAUUCUGACAAAACCCCCUCAAGUCAACAGAAAGCCUCAUUCUUGCUUAGAUUGGGUUUAGAUCAAAUCCCUGGCAAGCACAGGCGUUCCUAGUUGCCAUCACCUUUCAUGAUGAGUCAUUAGAAGCCAAGUUUCUACUUCAGAUUGCUUUUCUAACUCAAAUUCAAAGCCCUCGCAUGACAUCCAAACAGAAAUAUUUACACAAGAUGUGUAUAAAUAUAAAGUUUAUUCAGUAUAGUGUUUAGAAAAAUAAGUUCACAUCAUCUCAGAAUACAAAUAAAACACUUAAUUGUCCAGGCACAAACCCCUAUUACAGUACAACAAACAUACAUACUUUAGAUCUCUUUGGUUGGGUAAUUAAGCACAGAUAUGUUUGAUGAUACACUCUGGGGCAGCAUCACCUAACAGUGCAGUAAAAUCUUGAUUAUUCCCUCCUCUAACGCGUACAUUCCGCUUAAAUUUAAUAUUUGUUGUAAGGCACAAUAAAACCCAUAUUGGAGAAAUAACUGGUUAGUUCUGGACAAACAGUACAUGCAGCAAAAGAACAAACAUCCUCUGAAUGUGAAUCCUGAAAGCCAGAAGAUUCACCCCCUCCUUGAGUUCAGAAAUUUAAGAAGCAAGUUUUAAAUUAUAUGAAACAUCCAACUAAGGUAUAAAAUAUCCUUCAAGAAAAUAACUGCUAGGAGAUACAGGAAGACUUCAGGCAUCCUUGCUUUUAAAAAUACCAUUAUUUUUGUUUUCAGAAUUAUAAAAUUACUUUUCUUUUUGAUGAUUUGACAUUCUUCUCGACCACAAGGACUGGGCAAUUCAUGUCCCCAGAGCCCUGCACACAUAUUUCACAUGUGAGGGAUGCACCCCCUUGUUCAUCUGCCCUUGCUAAGAAAAGUGCACAGACACUGGAUGCACAUGAAAAAGCUCCUGUGCACACAGGGCCAAAUUCCACCCUGAUUUAUUUAACUGAAAACCGUUACUGAGGUGAUUCUGCAUGAUUUAAAGUCAGAACCUUCUUGUCAUCAAUCUCAGACUGAGAGCAGUAACGCCAGUUCCAGCCUCACUUGUGGGUGAAGUCACUUUCUGAGUGAGUCUUCCUGAAUCCACAGGUAGGGGAGAGCAGUAAAUGGGAAGAGGUAUAUGCUUUGACAGACUGUGACUGUUUGGUUUUACCAAGUGUCAGCCUUGUGCUCUGGGUUGUGCUGCCACUGCGUACUGGGCCAAAUCCGUCCCUGACCUCACAGCAGUGAAAUGAAUGGACCAUAUCCCAGCUGGCAUGAAAGGAUAAUAAAGUCAAUGGAAACGUGCUAGUUUAGCCCAGCUGAGGGCCUGGCCAGUAGAUGUCUGUGAUUUACAUUGCUGAAAUGUCCUUGCAGGUAAGACCACAGGGGUAACGCUGCAAAUAGUCCAUAGAAAGCAUUCAGUUCAAUGUGUUUCUGGUUUUCUGCAGAACUCUGGGUGAAACAGAGGCAGCUUCUUUAAUCAAAAGUAGUAAAGAAGAGAGAGGUUUUUAACAUGGUGCUUUGUAAGAAUUUGCUUGAAUUUUAGGCAUAUUUUUCAAAGCUGAGUCUGGGACUAGUAAAGCAGUAGAAUUUGGCAAUGUUUUCUGUAAGAUUUCCAGUGGACUUAGAAGUUACAAACAUAUGUGAAGUUGAAAUGAUCCUUUAUUCUCAUCCAUAACAGAAUGGGAGGGAAGAGAAGGAAUGUGUAUGCCAGGUAGACAUACCUUCCAUUUAAACACCAGAAUGUGAUAAUAAGGGCUGUCUGUGGGGCUUGGACACUCACUGCCUUCCCAUGUGUGGGAGACCAGCAUCCAAAUCCCCUAAACACCACGUAAAAUCCUUGGUUUGGGAAUCAGUGGAGCAAUGCCUUAUUUACAGCAGCCAAAGAUCUGGCCCUGGACACUUUUGGGGCUUUGAGCACUGUCUACUGAGAGCAGUGAGCCUUCCUGACUGAGGGCCACAAAAUAAAAACUUACCCUUGUAAGGAAUAAAACUACUUAUUUCAAUUUCUAUGUUAAACACACUGUACCGUGCAAUGAGUCUUUAUAUUGUGCAUAUGUACCCGCAGAAAACAUGAGGUUAUAACUACGUUAUCUGGAGGGAAUGACACUUAUUUUCAAUGGGAGAAAGAAAGAGUAAAAGAUAGUAAGAAGUUACUUGAUAUCUGGAAGACUAGAAUAGAUUAAUCUUACUUUGUCCCAAAACACUGCUUUUAUGUACAUCCUCCACUCCCACUGAAGAGUGGGAAGUCUCCUAUUAGAAGUACCAGACACUCCAAGAAACGUGCCACUGUAACAACAUACACAGUUUUUCACAUCAACUGUGCAGCAAAGCUGUGGAAUUCAGAGCCUCAGUAACACAACGAACGCAAAGAAGGAAAAAUUAAAAAUAAAGUAACAGGUACUGUUGUAACACCACAGUCUCUUCACUUAUGAGAGAUGAUCACACCAACAACUGCUCUGAAAUAUUCCCUAGCUUGCCUCCAAAUAUAGUCCGAGCUUCACAGACCAAAUGUUAAUCCACCAUCAACUCCUUCAGAGCCAAGUGCACAUUCUCCAUUAAAAUGACAGCGAUACGGGGUAUUCCUAAUUUUCCAAAUGGCUGGAUGAUUUCAUGCAAAGCACAUAACAGCUACAGCUACUGUCAUCACCAUCUUAGUUACACGGGUGAAGAAGAGGUGGGAACCAGAUUGCUCAUGCUGGGGCCCAGCAAACAGAUAAACAAGCAGAGCGGUUAGCAGAACGCGGGACUAUCCGAUUCCCUGCUCACGCGGAGCUCCCGGGAACGUCAGGGAAAGUUGUGCCAGGGGAACAUACAGCUCCAUGUCCUGCUUGUGAUAAUCUCUGCUUUAAAGCUCUUGCCUCAAACACCCUGCUUGCCUGGGAGCACGUGGGGACAGCCAACUGCUGCCGGGCUGCUGCUGCCGGCAGAGCGGCGGCGGCUCCGUGCAGCCGCGGGCGCUCCCCUUGCAAGCUCCUUCUUCCCUUUUCCUGCACUUUUCCCUGCAGCUCUGGAGACUCUGGCUCGCAGCAUGGACUCCAGGGCUCACCAACAGAGCUCAGCCUCAAGGUUCCACAGAAAAUCUUGCAAAAUACGCAAUAUAGUGCAAAACUACAACGAGAAUGCCGAUGCCGUGCUCACGGAAAAACCUUCAUUCCCCAAAAGCUUUCCAUGGAACCAGUUAAAGCCAAGACAAACACACUGGGAUAUGCCACCUCAAUUAUCUUUCCUUUCCAUUUUUUUUUGUCCUUUACAAGUGAUUUUGUUUUGUCCUGAACCUGAUUCAAAGCCCACAGAAGCUUACGAAAACAUUUCCCAUUGCCUUCCAAAGGCUUCGGACCAGGCCCCUGAUGAGGAUGAACACAUGCUUUAGUUACUGUAUAUAUUCACAUUAAGAUAAAAUAUAACAAAACCAAACCCACGAGGAUUAACAACAGCACGUCAUUUUUGUACAUCUGAAUUCUUAUUAUUGUUUUAAAGCUUAAAGGAUGUGCUUUUCCAUGCUACAAAAACUCCUCUGGAGGAAAGGUUCCUGUUCCACCUGCCCAGAGCCCACCUGCCUCUGCUGUCCCCAGGGAGAAAGGUGUGGACACCCAUCCUCAGGCACGGCCGCUGCAGCUCCCACCAUCAUCCCCCAGGAUGUUUCUCCUGGGAGGAUUUAUAUAAAUACACACUCAAGUGCUCUCCUGGAUGGGGGCCUUGCUCCACCAGCAGCUGAAGCCCUCCCACACGGGCUGUUUGGCCGAUGGGCCCGUGUAAACGUGGGAAUCCCUUCCUUGGCUUGCCCAUCCAAACUUUCCUGCUCAUCUGCCUGAGGUUGGAGCUUCCCCUCAGCACAAUCCCCUGCUCCUUCUGCAGACCCCUCCUGUCCCGCUGCCGUGGUGCAGAAGGAGCCACCCUCGGCUCUCUGCGCUGCCAGGAAAUGUCAGGAUGUCCAAAAUCACCCACCAUGUCCAAAAGACUCUCAAACCUCCUCUUACUCGUGCAAGCAGGGGCACCCAAGUCAGCGGGUCCACUUGCAGAAGUAAGGCAUCAGGAUUUGGCCCUGAGGACGGAUAUUUGCAAAUCAGUGUUUAUAUUCCUCCUGCCACUGUGCUUUAGUAACAAAGAUAAGGCCACUAGGAAGAAAGGCACGUGGAAUUCUGUAAAAAAUACACAAAAGGGUUCAACUAAUUCGCAAAUUACUAACAAAACAAACAAAAAAACCCCUGAACACAAAGACAGAGGGGGUAGAAACAGUGACCUCCUGGGUUUGUGAGACUGGGAAUUAAUUUUCUAGUUUCAGUGUGAUUAACAUUUUACUUUUACAGUCUAUUGCUUGAAAAAAAACUACAAAAAAGUAAAACCUUGUCAGAAAUAACUACGC